CUUGAAGAAAGUCACUUCUCUCUUCUUCAAGAAGAAUCGGCAGCUUCUUCACCUCCCAUAUCCAACUUUUCUCCUUCCAAUUAGUUGUGUUCGUUGGUAAAUCGAGCACGUAAUCGGCGGAAUAUAGUUAGAUCAAGGCGAAGGAGCCUAUAGUGUGUUUUGGACACAAAAGGAAUGGACCUAGAAGAUAGCGAAGGGUAGUAAGGUGAAAUAGGCUUAUAUUCAUAAGCCUGCGAGGAUGCGACAAGGCCUCUUAGACGGUGUAAGGCGUGCGAUGAGAUGGGUCAUCACGACUCCAGGAAUUGUCCACUACUUAAAGAGAUGACGAUGGAGAAAGAUGCGCCCAAGGGUAAAAGAACAGUUUGAGUUGUGUUAUUUAAACAACGCAUCACAACUUUUGUUUGGGCUCUAGUAGUAUUGUUGUUCAAAUUUUUUGUCGUACUGUUAUAAGUUGAAACAGGUGGUUGUUGCAUUAGUAGAAUUUUUCUGUUAAUUAUUGGAUUAUAUAAAAGUCGAGUACUGUA